CAAAGAACUUUGAAGAGAGAGUUCAAGAGGGCGUGAAACCGUUUGGAAGGAAACAGAUAGAGCUGGUGUCAGUCGGUGGAAUUCAGUUCGCCGGUCGUGAAUUGAAUGUGUCUGCGGACAGUUCGUCGCAGCGCGUUUGAACCGUACGCUGGUGAAUGCAUUUUCCACUGAUGUGCAUCGAGGUUAGUGCAUACACGGAACUAAGCUUUGGUUGCCGACCCUGCUCGCGGGGUGUCCCUCCCAGGCGGAAGUCCGUUGUGCGCACUGGUAAAGUGGUGCCCGCUCUGCUUGGUAGUCGGGCUACUCGGUCGACCGAACGUGGGCAUCGAGCUUGCUUGUUGUCCUAAACCGCGACUGGGGCGUGCAAGAUGAUCCAAGUGGUACCGACCUUGGUGUAAAAGUCGGCCACCUAUCUGACCCGUCUUGAAACACGGACCAAGGAGUCUAACAUGUGCGCGAGUCACUGGGUGGUAAACUCAGAGGCGAAAUGAGAGUGAAAGCUGGCUCGAUCAGCCUAUACGGGAUCCUCUAUUUGGAGGUGCACCGUAGCCCCGUCUUAUUCGCUUGUCGAAAGGGCGGAGGAAGAGCGUACAUGCUGGGACCCGAAAGAUGGUGAACUAUGCCUGAGCAGGGCGAAGCCAGAGGAAACUCUGGUGGAGGUCCGAAGCGGUUCUGACGUGCAAAUCGAUCGUCAGACUUGGGUAUAGGGGCGAAAGACUAAUCGAACCAUC
rnacentral:rRNA from 1 species